rfam:Oryza sativa Japonica Group DNA, chromosome 3, cultivar: Nipponbare, complete sequence.
AAUGUAUGACGCCGUUGACUUUUUACCCAACGUUUGACCAUUCGUCUUAUUCAAAAAAUUAUGUAACUAUUAUUUAUUUUAUUGUGACUUGAUUCAUUAUCAAAUAUUCUUUAAGCAUGACAUAAAUAUUUUUAUAUUUGUACAAAAUUUUUUGAAUAAAACGAAUGGUCAAACGUUGGUCGAAAAGUUAACGGUGUCAUACAUU